GACAACCCCAUUUUGAUCAAGCCUGUUCACAAAACAGAGUAAAACUCUCAAUUACACGCAAUUCCUUGAAUCCAUAAAAAUAACUACGAAACGCAAUUGGAUAAUCAUCUAUCUAGCAGCAGAGAUAACAAGACCUUUGUGGACCUACGAAUCUCAUUCAUAUCCUCAAAUCUAAAUCAAUCAAGAUCUUAGAUCUAUAAUUCCGCAGAAUCAUCAACCAUUAGACCUGAUUAUACGAGAACAUGCCUGAUCUGGAAAAAAUAUCAACUACUAUCACUUUGAAUUCCCACGACGCAGAUACAGAUCCAGCAUUACAAACAAGCGAAUCACAAGAAAACGCAUCCACUCAUAACAGAAAACAGAAGAAACGCAACAGAUCUGAAAACGACGAGCCAAUGAAUAACGCACGGAUCCAGAGAUCGCGCGAAAGGAAUCCAAACAGAAGUAGCAGUGAAUCGAGAGAGACAGAGAAGGAAUCAACAGGAAUAAACGUACCGGAAAACAACGUCGCACGACG